UGACCUCGGAUCAGGUAGGAAUACCCGCUGAACUUAAGCAUAUCAAUAAG
rnacentral:rRNA from 7 species